UAAUAAGUGUUUUAUGGCACUUUUUAAAUCCAUAUCCACCUUGUGUGCAAUGUCAGUCGAUCUUCUUCAUGGAGAUCGACCAAACAUCAACCUUUAUUUUUAACUCUUUGUCCGAAAAAUAUUAUGAAUAAACAAUUCAAAAUA
rnacentral:misc_RNA from 1 species